rnacentral:rRNA from 1 species
AAGAGCUCACCAAGGCAUCGAUCAGUAGCUGGUCUGAGAGGAUGAUCAGCCACACUGGGACUGAGACACGGCCCAGACUCCUACGGGAGGCAGCAGUGGGGAAUUUUCCGCAAUGGGCGAAA